AUUGAACGCUGGCGGCAGGCCUAACACAUGCAAGUCGAGCGGAUGAAGAGAGCUUGCUCUCUGAUUUAGCGGCGGACGGGUGAGUAAUGCCUAGGAAUCUGCCUGGUAGUGGGGGAUAACGUUCCGAAAGGAACGCUAAUACCGCAUACGUCCUACGGGAGAAAGCAGGGGACCUUCGGGCCUUGCGCUAUCAGAUGAGCCUAGGUCGGAUUACCUAGUUGGUGAGGUAAUGGCUCACCAAGGCGACGAUCCGUAACUGGUCUGAGGGGAUGAUCAGUCACACUGGAACUGAGACACGGUCCAGACUCCUACGGGAGGCAGCAGUGGGGAAUAUUGGACAAUGGGCGAAAGCCUGAUCCAGCCAUGCUGCGUGUGUGAAGAAGGUCUUCGGAUUGUAAAGCACUUUAAGUUGGGAGGAAGGGCAGUAAGUUAAUACCUUGCUGUUUUGACGUUACCGACAGAAUAAGCACCGGCUAACUUCGUGCCAGCCGCCGCGGUAAGAC
rnacentral:rRNA from 1 species